rnacentral:lncRNA from 1 species
CUAACCUACUUUCAGAAAAAGAUUGCACCGGAUUUGUCUGUCUUGUAAUGAUGGUGUCGUUGGUAAUGAUGGUGUCGUUGGUAAUGAUGGUGUCGUUGGUGUUGAUGUUAAUGAUGGUGUCGUGGUAAUGAUGGUGUCGUUGGUAAUGAUGGUGUGGUUGGUAAUGAUGGUGUCGUUGGUAAUGAUGGCGUCGUUGGUAAUGAUGUUGUCGUUGGUAAUGAUGGUGUUGAUGGUAAUGAUGGUGUCGUUGGUAAUGAUGGUGUGGUUGGUAAUGAUGGUGUGGUUGGUAAUGAUGGUGUGGUUGGUAAUGAUGGUGUGAUUGGUAAUGAUGGUGUCGAUGGUGUUGAUGGUGUCGUUGGUGUUGAUGGUAAUGAUGGUGUCGUGGUAAUGAUGGUGUCGUUGGUAAUGAUGGUGUCGUUGGUAAUGAUGGUGUUGAUGGUAAUGAUGGUGUCGUGGUAAUGAUGGUGUGGUUGGUAAUGAUGGUGUGGUUGGUAAUAAUGGUGUGAUUGGUAAUGAUGGUGUUGAUGGUGUCGUUGGUAAUGAUGGUGUCGUUGGUAAUGAUGGUGUCGUUGGUAAUGAUGGUGUCGUUGGUAAUGAUGGUGUCGUUGGUAAUGAUGGUGUCGUGGUAAUGAUGGUGUAGAUGGUGUUGAUGGUGUCGUUGGUAAUGAUGGUGUGGUUGGUAAUGAUGGUAUGGUUGGUAAUGAUGGUGUUGAUGGUGUCGUUGGUAAUGAUGGUGUCGUUGGUAAUGAUGGUGUGGUUGGUAAUGAUGGUGUGUUUGGUAAUGAUGGUGUGGUUGGUAAUGAUGGUGUUGAUGGUGUCGUUGGUAAUGAUGGCGUCGUUGGUAAUGAUGUUGUCGUUGGUAAUGAUGGUGUCGAUGGUAAUGAUGGUGUCGUGGUAAUGAUGGUGUCGUUGGUAAUGAUGGUGUGGUUGGUAAUGAUGGUGUGGUUGGUAAUGAUGGUGUGAUUGCUAAUGAUGGUGUGAUUGGUAAUGAUGGUGUUGAUGGUAAUGAUGGUGUCGUGGUAAUGAUGGUGUGGUUGGUAAUAAUGGUGUGAUUGGUAAUGAUGGUGUUGAUGGUGUCGUUGGUAAUGAUGGUGUCGUUGGUAAUGAUGGUGUCGUUGGUAAUGAUGGUGUCGUGGUAAUGAUGGUGUAGAUGGUGUUGAUGGUGUCGUUGGUAAUGAUGGUGUGGUUGGUAAUGAUGGUGUUGAUGGUGUCGUUGGUAAUAAUGGUGUGAUUGGUAAUGAUGGUGUUGAUGGUGUCGUUGGUAAUGAUGGUGUCGUUGGUAAUGAUGGUGUCGUGGUAAUGAUGGUGUAGAUGGUGUUGAUGGUGUCGUUGGUAAUGAUGGUGUGGUUGGUAAUGAUGGUGUUGAUGGUGUCGUUGGUAAUGAUGGUGUCGUUGGUAAUGAUGGUGUCGUUGGUGUCGUUGGUAAUGAUGGUGUGGUUGGUAAUGAUGGUGUGGUUGGUAAUGAUGGUGUUGAUGGUGUCGUUGGUAAUGAUGGCGUCGUUGGUAAUGAUGGUGUUGAUGGUAAUGAUGGUGUCGUGGUAAUGAUGGUGUCGUUGGUAAUGAUGGUGUGGUUGGUAAUGAUGGUGUGAUUGGUAAUGAUGGUGUUGAUGGUGUCGUUGGUAAUGAUGGUGUCGUUGGUGUCGUUGGUAAUGAUGGUGUGGUUGGUAAUGAUGGUGUUGAUGGUGUCGUUGGUAAUGAUGGUGUCGUUGGUAAUGAUGGUGUCGUUGGUGUGGUUGGUAAUGAUGGUGUGGUUGGUAAUGAUGGUGUUGAUGGUGUUGUUGGUAAUGAUGGCGUCGUUGGUAAUGAUGGCGUCGUUGGUAAUGAUGGCGUCGUUGGUAAUGAUGGCGUCGUUGGUAAUGAUGGUGUCGUUGGUAAUGAUGGUGUGGUUGGUAAUGAUGGUGUGAUUGGUAAUGAUGGUGUUGAUGGUGUCGUUGGUAAUGAUGGUGUCAUUGGUGUCGUUGGUAAUGAUGGUGUGGUUGGUAAUGAUGGUGUUGAUGGUGUUGUUGGUAAUGAUGGCGUCGUUGGUAAUGAUGGCGUCGUUGGUAAUGAUGUUGUCGUUGGUAAUGAUGGUGCUGGUUUUGGUGUGUUUUGUGGAGUAAUCCAUUUGGCUGCUGUUGAGUUCUCUGCUUAAUAAGGUCUCAUGUUAUAUCAGAAUGACGAGAGGUUCCUCUGAAGAUCUGUAUUAAAAGCCUGGUUGAAUGAUACAGAGGAUCAGUCUGAUGAAUGAUCUCCCCAUGUAGGACUCUUUGACGUCUGAUAGGAUCUCCUUUGUCUGUUGACGUCUGUUGUUUUCCUGGUCAAUAUGCCUCCGCUCCUCAACCGCCACCUGCUGGCUGCUAAAUCAAGAUUACAGAUCGCUAUUAUCGUU